AUGGCUGAAGUUUUGGCGUUAAAAUUUGGUCUAUCGCUUGCGCAAAAGACGGGUUGUAAUCGUAUAAUUAUUAACUCGGAUAAUAUGGAGAUGAUCGAGACCAUGAACGAAGGAGGACGAUCAUUGGCUGCAAUUUUUUAUGACUGUUUUCACUUAGUUUGCGAUUUUUCUAUUUUUAGAUUCGAGUAUUGUAAUAAAGAAGCAAAUAAAGUUGCUUAUGAACUUGUCAAGUUGGAUAGAUUUUCAUUCAUUUCUGAUUGGUUUGAGGAACCACAUAAUGCAAUUGUACCAAUCCUCAUAAAUGAUGUAAUGAUUAUUUUUAAUAAAUGA
rnacentral:rRNA from 1 species